UACGUAGGGAGCAAGCGUUGUCCGGAAUCAUUGGGCGUAAAGCGCGCGUAGGUGGCCCCGUAAGUCCGCUGUGAAAGUCAAAGGCUCAACCUUUGAAAGCCGGUGGAUACUGUGGGACUAAAGUACGGAAGAGGCGAGUGGAAUUCCUGGUGUAGCGGUGGAAUGCGCAGAUAUCAGGAGGAACACCAAUAGCGAAGGCAGCUCGCUGGGACGUUACUGACACUGAGGCGCGAAAGCGUGGGGAGCGAACAGG
rnacentral:rRNA from 1 species